UGAGGGCAUGUUGAGGGCAUGUUGAGGGCAUGUUGAGGGCAUGUUGAGGGCAUGUUAGAAAAGAAAGAAGGUCAAUAUGCAGUCGAAAGAGGCAGAGCUCCUGAAAUUGUGUUUUGUACACAUCAGAAAUGCAACAAUUAUUGCAUUAUUUUAACUAAAAAUUAAGAAAAUGGAAGGAGUACAAAUGCCGAUGCUGUUUAGGAAAAAAAUAAAGAAUUAGUGUAUUGUUCAGAUUUUUUUUUGUAAAGAAAGAGAUGUUUUUAAUCCAUGAAUAUUGUCAUAUAUGUUGCAUUUGAACAAAAAAUAAAGGCAAACGUUGCAAAAA